UACGUAGGUGGCAAGCGUUGUCCGGAAUUAUUGGGCGUAAAGCGCGCGCAGGCGGUCCUUUAAGUCUGAUGUGAAAGCCCACGGCUCAACCGUGGAGGGUCAUUGGAAACUGGGGGACUUGAGUGCAGGAGAGAAGAGUGGAAUUCCACGUGUAGCGGUGAAAUGCGUAGAGAUGUGGAGGAACACCAGUGGCGAAGGCGACUCUCUGGGCUCUACCUGACGCUGAGACGCGAAAGCGUGGGGAGCGAACCGG
rnacentral:rRNA from 1 species